rnacentral:tRNA from 1 species
AUUUAGGUUAAAUUAAACCGUAAACCUGUGGAGUUUAAGAUUUUUAGAUC